rnacentral:lncRNA from 1 species
CUUUUACCUUAUAUGUUUUAUAUUAAUGUUUAAUGUUUAUUCCAUUCAAAAUGCUUUCUAAUUUCUUUUAUAAUUUUUUGACCUUUGUGUUAAUUAGAAGUGUGAGAAUUUCCAAAUAUUUGAAGAUUUUUCAGAUAUCUUUUUGUCAUUAAUUGUGUUGUGAUCAGAGAAUAUGCUGUUUCAUUUUAGCUAUUUUAUAUGUAGUUAGACUUCUUCAAUGACCCAAUUUAUCUUAGUUGACAUACCUUUAAAAUAGUUAGCUUUCUUCAGUGAUUGGCUGUGGAGUUUUACAAAUAUAAAUUAGGUCACAUUGUUUGACAGAGUUGUAAAGACUUCUCUGUACUUACUGGUUUACUGUCUACUUGUUCUAUCAAUUACUGAUAAAAAUCUAUUAGAAUUGCAAGGCACUGUGGUACACACCUGUAAUCCAAGCUAUUCGGGAGGCCAAAACAGGAGGCUUUCAAGAUCAAGGCUUGCCUGGGCAGUUUAUAAACAGAAACAAAGCCAAACAAAUAAAAAUCUACAAAAACUAUUGUGUGUUCUGUUUUCCUUUUUAAUCUGAUGGAUUAAUUCUUUGGGGGCUGUCUAGCUCUAUAGCUUGUUCUUAAGGCAUGGGAUUCCCUGGGAGUCAAUGAGUCUUCUCUGCUCCACUUGUUUAGACUUUGAACAUCUUCCAGCCCUGUGAGAAUUAUGGUAGUAAUUCAGCUAUUAGGUCCCCAUUACCUGUUCUUCUCCUGGUCAUUCUUUGGUUGGUUCACAGGGUUUCACAAUAUGAAUAAGUAGCUUACUCUAGAACCCAAAAGGCAAAUAGCAUCCCUUGGAGAUUUCUGGAUCUUUUUCUGCAUAGCUUCCUCUCUCAGGUGCUUUGCACGGCAAGUUUCAAGCUCCUUAAAUCUUCUUGAAUGCUGAUUUUUAUCUGCACAGUGUUAUAAUAUCCUUAAGCUCUGAAUUUUACCUUCCUGUGUUGGGAUCUAAUAAAUUCCCCCAGACAGAAACUGAGGAUGAAAGGAAUCACCUCCUCUCUCUCUCUCCUUUUGGAGAUCAUCUAAUAAUAAAUAACACCUGCACAAGCACCGUGAUGAGAGUUUUGAACUUGGGUCCUAAGAUAUGGAUUGAAUGCUGGCUUCACUACUUAUUUAUCUGACUUUAGUUGAAUCACUAAAGCUCCAGAUUGAAGCUGCUACUUCUAGAAAAAGAAGAAAUUAUGCUAGAUGAUCACUGAGACACCUUCCACCUCUAACUCUGUAAGGCUAAUAUGCAAAUACAGUGACUUUUAUAUUUGCAUUUCAUCCAAAUCUUUAGGUCAGUGUUGCUUGCCUGAAGAGGUAUUUUUUUAAAUUUUAGUUUAAUUAAUUAAUUAAUUAAUUGAUUGAUUGAUUAAUUAAUUUUUUUGUGCUGAAUGAACCCAGGGCCUUGCACAUGCUAGGCAAGUGCCCUACCACUGAGCUAUACCUCCAGCUUUGCCCCUCACCUUUUUAAAUCAAUGAGGUCUGUCACUUAUUGUUUCUUCUUCCCACAGAUGAUUGUAAAUUGCCUUAUAGCAUUUCAUCCUAGCACAAUGGCUUCAUCACAUAAAAUCAUUUUGCAAAUGGAUUUUAUUUUAUGGUAAUAUUGUUAUGCCUUAUGGAAGAUUCCAUUUUUUCUAGAUAUGUGACCUGCUUAAAAAGAACUCUCUUUUAUCACUCUCACGGAUCUACUGGUGAUAUUUUAAAGUAUUAUGGGGUUCAACCAUUGUGAUAUGGUAGACUGGAAUUUUCAAGAGGUAGAAGGUUUCAUUCAUACAGUAACAUGUUGGGAUUUCCUUCUAGACCUAUUAUCCUGAUAAACAUUUGUUUAUUUGUCCAUGGACACUUGGUAUAUUUCUAGGUUAUUAGGGAUGGGGUUCAAAUGGAGUUGGACAAUUAGUGUUUAAUGAAUUUAGAGUUUCAGUUUUCCAAGACCAAAGUGUUCUAGAGUUGAUAGUGCAUACUUAACACUACUGAACCUGUAUACUUAAGAAUGGGUAAAAUGGAAGAUUUUAUGUGAAGUGUAUUUACUAAAACUUAGGAAAAAAAAGAGGAAGAAGACAUUACAGUUUAUUUAUGUAUGUAUUUAUUUAUUUUUCGUAGGUGGGUUCUUCUAACCCUUUAGUUUUCUUUUAUCUUGUGUUAAUAUUUUUCACUCACUUGAAAUACAGCCGGUUUUCUUUGUGUGAUAGAAGUAUUCUAAUUUGAUCAUAUUAUUCUGAAAACAGCUUCCCUGCCUAUUUUAAGUCCAUGGGUAAUUUGAAAUUGUUCUAAAAUGCUUCCUUCUCCUCCAUCUUUUCCUAUUCCUUCUUUUCCUCCUCCUCUGUCCUCUCCUUCCUUCUUCAAUAAAAUCAAACUUGAUGGUCCUUGGAAUUGAUAAUUGCUAUUCAUCUAGGAAAAUGCAAAUAAUUUGACAGAUUGUGGAGGAUUGUUGAACAAGAAAUUUAAAGUGACCUUUUUGUUUUUCAACAGGAUAUUUAUAGUUUUCACAUUUGCUGUUGGGUGGGCAUUGUAGAAUUAAGUGAUUUGGAAAUUUAUACUGAAGAGUUUAUUCCUUUUUGCAUCUGCUUAACAGUUUGUACUAAUUAAUGCUUUUGAAUUGUGUGAUAUAUAUUUAACACAAUGUGGAUAGUGUUAACUUCAUGCUGAAGAUUUUAUAUGUGGUCCCAUGGGCUUUGGGCAUUAGCAUAGACUUUGGCAUCAAUUACUUUGCUGCAGGGAAUUUACUACUCUGGUAAACAGGCUUUCAGCCAUUCAACUGGAGACCCUCUUAGACACAAGCAGACAGUGAAGCCCUUUUAUGUAUAUAAAUGAUGCCAUAAUUCACCUCUCAAUUGUUAGCUCCUCAAUGAGGGGCACUCAGAGCUCUAUUCCAGGUAGGGGUGCAUAGUUUCUGGAUCUGUAGACUCACAAGGGUUCUUUGCUGCUUGUGCUACAAUCUGAUGGGAUGGGAACAUGGUCAGAAGCUUUCAAAUGGGAAGCUUCGGGGUGUAUGUCCCAUCCUGCCUCCUUCCAAUUGCUCUGGAGACUCCAUCUACGUGCAGGCCUCUUCCCUAGGUGGAACUGCUAACAAUUCCAGAAUAAUUCAAGAAUUUGCUGUAAGACUGAGUGAGUUCAAGGUAGUUUCUCAGGGGUAGCCAUCCCCACAAACCCCUUAUAGGCCCAGGCUGCACACCUUCUAGAAAUCUUUUUAUAUUCACUCUGGCACAGAUUUAUAGAGAUGGUGAUUAUCUUUGCAAAUGAUUAAAAUUUUCAAAUAAAAGAGGCUGUGGUUACACAAAAUUACAUAUAAGAGUUUGUAAGGGGAAAGGGGAAAAAAAACAAGAGAGAGAAUUGAAUAACAGCAGAUGGGGUAGAGAGGGAAGAUGAGAGGGAAGGGGAGGGGGAUAGUAGGGGAUAGGAAACGUAGCAGAAUACUACAGUCACUAAUAUGGCAUUAUGUAAAAAUGUGGAUGUGUAACCGAUGUGAUUCUGCAACUUGUAUUUGGGGUAAAACUGGGAGUUCAUAACCCACUUGAAUCAAAUGCAUAAAAGAUGAUAUGUCAUGAGCUUUGUAAUGUUUUGAACA